rnacentral:lncRNA from 1 species
UGACAAUCAGACAAUGGCUGGGGCUAGAGUUCUCUUGAAGGCCUUUCCAUUCAUAUUCUCUGGUGCCUGACUUGGGAAGACCUAAAUAGCUGGCGGCUGGAACAGUCGGGGCUCCUCAGGCACCUCUGUCUAUUACAAUGUGCUCCCUCCAUGUGGACUCUCUGUCAGGGUAGCUGGACUUCUUACAUGAAGUCACCUGUACCCGGAGACAGGCUGGUGGAAGUCAAUAACCCAUUGUGAUCCAGCUUCACAAGUCAAGCAGUGUCACUUCCACCAUAUUAUAUGCACGGAGACAGUCAAAAGUGAAUAAAUUAACUUUAGCUUACUGUAAUUUUACUUUAUUAACUUAUUGUUUUUACUCUUUUGUAACCUUCCAAUUCUUUCUAACAGUCUAUAGUUCUAAGUUAAAAAAAAAAAAAAGUCAUCAAUGCCCAUAUAACAGUAAUUUUGUAAGCAAGCAUUUUUGUCAUAGACACAGUGGCAGCUUACCAAGAGAUCAGUAAAUUGACGAUUCACUGUAUAACCAAAUAAAUCUACUUUUGGAUAAGAAUCACUUGUUCCACUUUUGGUCAAACACAGGAUUAAGUGUUUCUUACUACAUUUUUUGACUGAAAAAGUGGCAGAAAUUUUGGUUCCAAACUUCCAAAUUAUCUCAAUGGAAGUUUUAGCAGAAAUUAUUUAUUUAAUCUUAAUAAUUUUAAUAGGGAAAAGUAAUUAAUAAAUUACAAGCAUA